GGGCUGGUAGCUCAGCCAGGCAGAGCGAUUGGCUCUUAACCAAUUGGUCGGGGGUUCAAAUCCCUCCCAGCCCG
rnacentral:tRNA from 1 species